rnacentral:rRNA from 1 species
UACGAAGGGGGCUAGCGUUGUUCGGAAUUACUGGGCGUAAAGCGCACGUAGGCGGAAUGUUAAGUCAGGGGUGAAAUCCCGGGGCUCAACCCCGGAACUGCCUUUGAUACUGGCAUUCUCGAGUCCGGAAGAGGUGAGUGGAAUUCCGAGUGUAGAGGUGAAAUUCGUAGAUAUUCGGAGGAACACCAGUGGCGAAGGCGGCUCACUGGUCCGGUACUGACGCUGAGGUGGCGAAAGCGUGGGGAGCAAACAGG